CCUACGGGGGGCAGCAGUGGGGAAUAUUGCGCAAUGGGCGAAAGCCUGACGCAGCGACGCCGCGUGAGGGAUGAAGGUCUUCGGAUCGUAAACCUCUGUCAGCAGGGAAGAACGGUCACUGUGCUAAUCAGCAGUGAAUUGACGGUACCUGCAAAGGAAGCACCGGCUAACUCCGUGCCAGCAGCCGCGGGAAUACGGAGGGUGCGAGCGUUAAUCGGAAUUACUGGGCGUAAAGCGCUCGUAGGCGGUAUGUCAAGUCAAGGGUGAAAGCCCCGCGCUCAACGUGGGAACUGCAUUUGAAACUGGCAAACUGGAGUGUGUGAGAGGAUAGUGGAAUUCGAGGUGUAGGAGUGAAAUCCGUAGAUAUCUGGAGGAACAUCAGUGGCGAAGGCGACUAUCUGGCACAUAACUGACGCUGAGGAGCGAAAGUGUGGGUAGCAAACAGGAUUAGAUACCCUAGUAGUC
rnacentral:rRNA from 1 species